rnacentral:tRNA from 1 species
AUUUAGGUAGCUUAAAAAAAGUUUAAUAUUGAAAAUAUUAAGAUAGAAUUUCUUCUAAAUA